rnacentral:rRNA from 1 species
UACGGAGGAUGCAAGCGUUACUCCGGGAUUUACUUGGGUUUAAAGGGUGGCGCAGGUUGUUUGAUAAGUCAGUGGUGAAAGUCUGUCGCUUAACGGUAGGAUUGCCAUUGAUACUGUUAGACUUGAAUAUGGAUGAGGUAGGCGGAAUGUGUAGUGUAGCGGUGAAAUGCAUAGAUAUUACACAGAACACCGAUUGCGAAGGCAGCUUACUAAUCCAUCAUUGACGCUGAGGCACGAAAGCGUGGGGAUCAAACAGGA